rnacentral:rRNA from 1 species
UACGUAGGGGGCAAGCGUUGUCCGGAAUUAUUGGGCUUAAAGCGCGCGCAGGCGGCUGUUUAAGUCUGGUGUUUAAGCCCAGGGCUCAACCUUGGGACGCACUGGAAACUGGAUAGCUUGAGUGCAGGAGAGGGAAGUGGAAUUCCACGUGUAGCGGUGAAAUGCGUAGAGAUGUGGAGGAACACCAGUGGCGAAGGCGACUUUCUGGCCUGUAACUGACGCUGAGGCGCGAAAGCGUGGGGAGCAAACAGG